UACGUAGGUGGCAAGCGUUGUCCGGAAUUAUUGGGCGUAAAGCGCGCGCAGGCGGUCUUUUAAGUCUGAUGUGAAAGCCCUCGGCUCAACCGGGGAGGGUCAUUGGAAACUGGGAGACUUGAGUACAGCAGAGGAGAGUGGAAUUCCACGUGUAGCGGUGAAAUGCGUAGAUAUGUGGAGGAACACCAGUGGUGAAGGCGACUCUCUGGUCUGUAACUGACGCUCAUGUACGAAAGCGUGGGGAGCAAACAGG
rnacentral:misc_RNA from 1 species